UACGUAGGGGGCGAGCGUUGUCCGGAAUCAUUGGGCGUAAAGCGCGUGUAGGCGGCCCGGUAAGUCCGCUGUGAAAGUCCAGGGCUCAACCCUGGGAUGCCGGUGGAUACUGUCGGGCUCGAGUCCGGAAGAGGCGAGUGGAAUUCCUGGUGUAGCGGUGAAAUGCGCAGAUAUCAGGAAGAACACCAAUGGCGAAAGCAGCUUUCUGGGACGGUACUGACGCUGAGACGCGAAAGCGUGGGGAGCGAACAGG
rnacentral:rRNA from 1 species